rnacentral:rRNA from 1 species
GACGAACGCUGGCGGCGUGCCUAAUACAUGCAAGUUGAGCGCUGAAGGUUGGUACUUGUACCCACUGGAUGAGCAGCGAACGGGUGAGUAACGCGUGGGGAAUCUGCCUUUGAGCGGGGGACAACAUUUGGAAACGAAUGCUAAUACCGCAUAAAAACUUUAAACACAAGUUUUAAGUUUGAAAGAUGCAAUUGCAUCACUCAAAGAUGAUCCCGCGUUGUAUUAGCUAGUUGGUGAGGUAAAGGCUCACCAAGGCGAUGAUACAUAGCCGACCUGAGAGGGUGAUCGGCCACAUUGGGACUGAGACACGGCCCAAACUCCUACGGGAGGCAGCAGUAGGGAAUCUUCGGCAAUGGACGAAAGUCUGACCGAGCAACGCCGCGGGAGUGAAGAAGGUUUUCGGAUCGUAAAACUCUGUUGGUAGAGAAGAACGUUGGUGAGAGUGGAAAGCUCAUCAAGUGACGGUAACUACCCAGAAAGGGACGGCUAACUACGUG